CAAGGAGUUUUCCGCAAUGGGCGCAAGCCUGACGGAGCAACGCCGCGUGGGGGAUGACGCCCUUCGGGGUGUAAACCCCUUUUCUUGGGGACGAAGCAGUGACGGUACCAUUUAUAAGCUCCGGCUAACUACGUGCCAGCAGCCGCGGUAAUACGUAGGGAGCAAGCGUUGUUCGGAUUUACUGGGCGUAAAGGGCGCGUAGGCGGCGCGGUAAGUCACUUGUGAAAUCUCUGAGCUUAACUCAGAACGGCCAAGUGAUACUGCUGGGCUAGAGUGCGGAAGAGGCAACCGGAAUUCUUGGUGUAGCGGUAAAAUGCGUAGAUAUCAAGAGGAACACCUGAGGCGAAGGCGGGUUGCUGGGCCGACACUGACGCUGAUGCGCGAAAGCCAGGGGAGCAAACG
rnacentral:rRNA from 1 species